rnacentral:rRNA from 1 species
UACAGAGGGGGCAAGCGUUGUUCGGAAUUACUGGGCGUAAAGGGCGCGUAGGCGGCCUUCUAAGUCGAACGUGAAAUCCCCGGGCUCAACCCGGGAACUGCGUCCGAUACUGGAAGGCUUGAAUCCGGGAGAGGGAUGCGGAAUUCCAGGUGUAGCGGUGAAAUGCGUAGAUAUCAGGAGGAACACCGGUGGCGAAGGCGGCAUCCUGGACCGGCAUUGACGCUGAGGCGCGAAAGCCAGGGGAGCAAACGGG